rnacentral:rRNA from 1 species
UACGUAGGGGGCGAGCGUUACCCGGAUUUACUGGGCGUAAAGCGCGUGUAGGCGGCUGGCCAAGCGUGGUGUGAAAUCUUCGGGCUUAACCCGAAAACUGCAUUGCGAACUGGUCUGGCUAGAGUGUGUGAGAGGGUAGUGGAAUUCCCGGUGUAGCGGUGAAAUGCGUAGAUAUCAGGAGGAACACCGGUGGUGUAGACGGCUCUCUGGACCGUAACUGACGCUGAGACACGAAAGCGUGGGUAGCAAACAGG